UGGAAAUCCUGAGUCGCGGCUUGAAGCAGUGAUUGAGCAGCUGGUGGGAAGGCAGGGCCAACCCAGGGGAGCUCAGGUGCAUGCAGUGCAGCUGAAUGACCGGAAGGGAUAGAGCCAGGAUCCACCCCUUCCCAGACCUCAUUUAAGGGCCGGCAGUGGAAGCAAAAACAUCUGUGUACUCGAGUCCUCCUGAAGAGAAUCCUUGUCUUGGCCUGAGUAGAGAGAGCACUUGCAGAACUGGUAGCUGUUUCCUGUUGAUUGUGCUUCGUGAAAUCAGUUCCUAUACAUCUUCAACUGUGCGCUGUCUUUAUCUUGAACUGAAGCAAACAGGAAAGUUUCCCAUUAGAAUGCAACUCCGAUGGACUGGAUAGCUGUGUGCCCACCCUUGAAGCUGUAAGCAUCCUGGACACCCAUUCCAGAAGGAUGUUUUUGUCAGAUGGAGAUUCCACUUUAGGAAAAUAUUAAAACAAAGAUUUCAAAGGGGCUUCAGAAAAUGCUUAAAGGCCGUAGACCAAAUGCUGUUUUGCUGUCUGAAGAGAUCUCAGCAAAGGGGCAGUAGUUAAAGAGGAACGAUUACAUUGUAAAAAGCCAUAAAACCUUCCAGGAUUCAGAGUCUCAGGGGAAAGCAGAAAGGAACCCAAGACGAAGUCACACAUUGUGGAUCCAUAGAGCCCGACAUCACUAGACUGUGUUGCCAAGAUGGCAUGGCUCAGGCAUCACUACUGGAAGUGCUGGCACUUACCUCUGGGAAAUCAGUGGGACUCACUGUGGAGCAAAGCAUUGUCAGCAAGGUCCCAUCAAGAAGUCACACUGUAUUUUUCUCCAUUGCUCCCUGUGGAGUUCAUGUGUUCAGCCUUCUUUCUAAUGAUGGCACUAAGCAGCUGUCAGCUAUUAUCUGAUGAUGUUGCUGCUUCACAGAUCUGCCUGUUUGAGUUAUAGAAGGAUGCCAGGACCACGCUGUCCUUCAUUACGUGAUGGAGACUCGGUUGCUCUUACAGAAACUCUGAAUCCUGCUGGCUGCUGUAAAGAAAUGAGAAGGAAGUUUCAGUCUUCCAGUUGGAGAGGAGUGACACAGAUGUUUAAGACGCAAGCAGCUUAGAUGUAACACAUUGUAAUAAAGUGUUGCCGUGCUAGGCAAAUGUAUGAGAAUGAUGAAUUCAGUAGUACGCGAGAAGAGGUCAGAUGCUGCAUUGAGUAUCUUCCGUGAGCGAGGAAAUGCUGAACUUCAGCUCAGUAUAUCACUGCUGAAGCUGUGCCCGGCCAUGGGAGAUGACAAGCAGUUGCUACCAGCCAAGCUUUAAAUUAGGAGAGAAGAACCUUUUUCAUUACAUUCCAAAGAAUUGUGAAAGAUGUGGAAAUCACUGCUUGGAAAACUGUACUUCUACAGGGAGCUGAGUGAAGUCCUACUGAUUCUCACUGCAAUGAAGUACUCAGGACACUUUUUUUGAGCCCACCACUACAGUCAUCACAAAGACAACACUUAGUCCAAGAAGAUUCUAGGCCUUCUUCAGAAGUCGCUCUACUUGAUCAGUACUUUUUGAGGGAGACUUGCCAAAUUCAUCGGUGCUGAUCUGGAAGCCAAAAUAGAUAUCCAUGUGUUUUGAAGAGCGGAAAUGCUGGAACGCAGCUGGAAAGCGGCUCAGGGCUCCUGCCAGUCAUACCGGCUCACCACUAAGAGGGCACAGAUCUCAUGACUGCUAUCCUGAGAAACCUGCUGUCUGCCAGACCCACAGAUGUGUGAGGCUGAAUGGCCAUCCUUCUGAUGGAAUGCAACAGUGAAGUACUCCAAGAGGUGAUGGCAGGCCACUUUACAUGCAGAAAUCAGACCCUCUAGCCGGGAAGGAUAUAGAGCAGGC
rnacentral:lncRNA from 1 species